GAUGAACGCUAGCGGCAGGCUUAAUACAUGCAAGUCGAGGGGCAGCAUGAUUGUAGCAAUACAAUUGAUGGCGACCGGCAAACGGGUGCGGAACACGUACACAACCUUCCAACAAGUGGGGGAUAGCCCAGAGAAAUUGGAUUAAUACCCCGUAACAUAGCGAUGUGGCAUCACAUUGCUAUUAUAGCUUCGGCGCUUGUUGAUGGGUAUGCGGCUGAUUAGAUAGUUGGCGGGGUAACGGCCCACCAAGUCUACGAUCAGUAGCUGAUGUGAGAGCAUGAUCAGCCACACGGGCACUGAGACACGGGCCCGACUCCUACGGGAGGCAGCAGUAAGGAAUAUUGGACAAUGGACGCAAGUCUGAUCCAGCCAUGCCGCGUGAAGGAUUAAGGUCCUCUGGAUUGUAAACUUCUUUUAUAAGGGACGAAAAAAGGUCUUUCUAGAUCGUCUGACGGUACCUUAUGAAUAAGCACCGGCUAACUCCGUGCCAGCCGCCGCAGUAACAC
rnacentral:rRNA from 1 species